rnacentral:rRNA from 1 species
UACCAGCACCCCGAGUGGUCGGGACGAUUAUUGGGCCUAAAGCAUCCGUAGCCGGUCCUGCAAGUCUUCCGUUAAAUCCACCUGCUCAACAGUUGGGCUGCGGGGGAUACUACAGGGCUAGGAGGCGGGAGAGGCAAGCGGUACUCAGUGGGUGGGGGUAAAAUCCGCUGAUCCAUUGAAGACCACGAGUGGCGAAGGCGGCUUGCCAGAACGCGCUCGACGGUGAGGGAUGAAAGCUGGGGGAGCAAACCGG